AAGUCGUAACAAGGUUUCCGUAGGUGAACCUGCGGAAGGAUCAUUAUUGAAUUAAUAAAAGUGAGCUUUCAAUUGGUGGCUGACGCUGAUGGUCAAACAUAUGUGCUCGCCACCAUGAGGGGGUUCAUUUUUUAUUAACCUUCUUUCCACCUGUGCACUCUUGUAGAUAUUGGAGGUCAUCUCUCAGGCAGCAAUAUGCUUGGUUUGGAGUUUGCGGGCUUCAUUUAUUUGAAGUUAGCUUUCUCUGUCGACCUUCAGUGUCUAUUUUACAUAUACCCUUGAAAUAAGUUAUAGAAGGACUUGAUUGGGCUCUUAAUGCCUAUAAAUCAAUAAUACAACUUUCAGCAACGGAUCUCUUGGCUCUC
rnacentral:misc_RNA from 1 species